rnacentral:rRNA from 1 species
UGUGAGAUUGGGACCAUAUUAUAAUAUCACUCAGUUGUUGGUCAAGCUGAAAAGCAAUCUACUCUUGGAGGGGA